UACGUAGGGUGCGAGCGUUAAUCGGAUUUACUGGGCGUAAAGCGUGCGCAGGCGGCCCGUUAAGACAGGUGUGAAAUCCCUGGGCUCAACCUAGGAAUUGCGCUUGUGACUGGCGGGCUCGAGUACGGUAGAGGGGGGUGGAAUUCCUGGUGUAGCAGUGAAAUGCGUAGAGAUCAGGAGGAACACCGAUGGCGAAGGCAGCCCCCUGGGCCAAGACUGACGCUGAGGUGCGAAAGCGUGGGGAGCAAACAGG
rnacentral:rRNA from 1 species